rnacentral:rRNA from 1 species
UACGUAGGGGGCAAGCGUUGUCCGGAUUUAUUGGGCGUAAAGAGCGUGUAGGCGGCCAGGUAGGUCAGCUGUGAAAACUCGAGGCUCAACCUCGAGACGUCGGUUGAAACCACCUGGCUAGAGUCCGGAAGAGGAGAGUGGAAUUCCUGGUGUAGCGGUGAAAUGCGCAGAUAUCAGGAAGAACACCCGUGGCGAAGGCGGCUCUCUGGGACGGUACUGACGCUGAGACGCGAAAGCAUGGGGAGCGAACAGG